rnacentral:lncRNA from 1 species
UGAAAUUAUAUUCUUAAUGAAAAAACGAAGAAAGAGAUGCCGUUAUUAGCUAUUGUGUUGUGUAUUCAGAUACAUUAUGUCAGUGUGGGUAUAGUCAAAGCAGCUAAUAAUGGCAAGUUUUAUAUAUAUUAUAUUUCAAAAUGUAGUCCUCUCCUAUUAGUUUCUUGUUUCUUCUCGGGUUUUUUUACAGGGUUUAUGAGAAAAAAAAGAAUAGCCUAUGAAGACCGGUUCUUGUUAAUCCAUAUCGAGUGCACCACAGUCGAUUUUAUUUCAAAUACAUAAUUAAUAUGAACAGGAAGAGUUAACAUCAUGCAAUCAGUUAUAUUCUUUUGUUGAAACUUUCAAGAAACUGUUAUUGUUUACCCAAACGGUACCACCUGAAUACCCCCCUUUUCUGCUUUAUUUUUCUUUCUGCAAGGUCGUAUCGCUCUUUUUUCGUUUAUUUGUGUAUUGAGUCCCUUGUGUUUUUAAAUAUUACCGAAACGUAAUUUUGUCUCGAUUUCCUUUAAAAAAAAAUACUUUUGUAAAACGAUCACUGCAAACAAAGUGCGAAUCGGACACACGAUUGGUUUGUUUGACAGAUAAAAUGCGAUAAUGUCUUCCUUUAUUCUGCUUCCCAUAUUCAUCGUCGUUCAUAAGCGAAGUGUUGCAUUAAAUUCAUAUGUAAACAACAAUUUAAAAAAUCAACAACUUUUAAAUCAACGCCGAGCACGGAAAAUUCGAAAAAGUAUUAUAGUCCCCUAGUUCAUGAAGGAAAUUCUAGAUUCGCACUUUGUACACAGGAUAAGGUUUAGGUUAUUGGUGGGCCAUGUAUUGCGGCAUGAUUUAUCAAAUUUAAGAAGCAUUACUUUAUUGCUUUUUUCUUUUUAAUUGUAGUUGAAACCGAUGUUAGGAAGAAUUAGAGCAACACCAGAGGUCAAUUUUGAUUACCCAAAGACGGACGAGGAUCCAUCGUUUGAAAAAAGAAAUUCAUUAAGGCAACAAAAACAAGACUUACCACGUGCAUAAUCAACUUAUUGAAUUAGUGCAAACAGAAACAA